UACCGACACACUUUUUCCCAAUAAGCUAUCGAAAGUUUGACUACCAACAGUUUAUCAUGGAGCUCUUAAAAUCUACAUUGGUCAAAGUGGUAUUUGUCUUUUCGGUGUUUGUCGGUUUUUGUGGUGCAAAAGAUCGUGAUAAAGAAAUAAACUGUUACUCAUGUAACACCAUGUCCAGUAUUUUAAAUGCGUCGGAUUACACAUGCAGGUCUGAUUUGACAAAUGCGCGAACAUGCAAGGGCCAUGAAUGCCAAGUCGUGAGAAUUGAAUAUUCAGGUGAUGAAAUCAUAAUGCGAGAUUGUAUAUCACGUGAUGAAUAUGGAGCAAUGAUUACAUUUUUGGGGCCAUCUUCCUUUAAGGAGAAAUCCGUUUCACGAAAAUUUUUUGGCGCCAAAAUAUCUUGGAGAUCCUGUGACACAGAAUUGUGCAACUGGGGGGUAGCACAGAGAGCACAGACCUUAAUUCUAUUCCUUAGCACUGUGUUGCCUUUUUCCGUGUAUUAUUAUUUUUAAUUUUGUAUUUCAUAAUUUGAUGGGUUAUAUAUGCUUGUGCGAGAAAUUGCAGAGUGUAAACGGCCUUAAAGAGAAAAUAAUAGAAAAUACUUUUACUUUUU